AACUCAAAUUUUCUCUGGUUGUCCUCUUUAUUAAAAAUAGUAUUUUGAAGUCUUUAGGCCAUUUGACGGAGCAUUCGUGAUCCUGAUCCAUACAUACAGAAUCUGUCUUCAUUAUAUGAAAAGGAUUAUAGACACAUCCUGACACACCCUAAUGCAGACAAACCCUUCAAUGGGAAAGUUUGGUGCAAAGAGCCUCCCUGAAUUCCAAGCAAUUCAGAUUCACAGCUGCCAUCUUACCUGCAAAGGCAGGACUUCUAGCUCAUUCCAGAACAGGGUGAGCUUUCCCACUGGCAUUCAUCCAGAGCAAGAGCUUCACUACUGUCAUGACAAAGGACAAAUCUACUAAUUAGGAUUUGUGAACAUGGCCUUUGACGUGUCACCUUGGACUAAAGAGGGGAGGAUAUUUAACUAGUCAUCUGGAAAGCCUUAGCAUCUUCAGAAGGAAAAGACCAUGAAGACCAUGUCAUUUUAAGAUUAAAGGUGAAAACCUGUCCCCACUAAAGUAGAUGGAAAGACUCUCAUUGUCUUCAGUGGGACUAGAAUUUCACCCUAGAUAUCAAACAGACAAAGAGAAACUGAGGACGUUUGGGGCCACAGGCUAUUAUCGCCUCAGAAUACUAUGAUCUGCAGUUAAGACCCACAAGUGUAUUGAAUGAUUCCAAGACUUGAGAGAUGGCACUCAAUUCCUACCGUGGGGAUCUGCAGAGAUUUCGCAUUCAGAGAACUCUAGCUAGAUUGUUGGUAAGUAGUUAUCCUUUCUCCAAGUGCCAGAAUAGCCUCUGCUGUAACACUUAUAAACUCUGAAUAGUGGUGAAUUGUUUUCCACUAGUACUGCAUUAAAGACAUUUUGAUGGAU